CUAGAGGAAGAGGACUCGAACCCCCAUCUAAAAAUUCAAAAUUUUUAGUACUACCAUAUUAUACCACCCUCUA
rnacentral:tRNA from 1 species